rnacentral:rRNA from 1 species
GAUGAACGCUGGCGGCGUGCCUAACACAUGCAAGUCGAACGAACCUGAACUUCGGAAAAGGUUAGUGGCGCACGGGUGAGUAACACGUAGGUGACCUGCCCUGGAGCGGGGGAUAACGUCUCGAAAGAGAGGCUAAUACCGCAUACGCUUGGCCAUUCAGUUGGUCGAGUAAAGCGCCGGCGCUCCAGGUGGGGCCUGCGUCCGAUUAGCUAGUUGGUGGGGUAAUGGCUCACCAAGGCGAUGAGCGGUAGCUGGUCUGAGAGGACGAUCAGCCACAAUGGCACUGACACACGGGCCAGACACCUACGGGAGGCAGCAGUGAGGAAUAUUGGUCAAUGGGCGAAAGCCUGAACCAGCAACGCCGCGUGAGGGAUGAAGGCCUUCGGGUCGUAAACCUCUUUUCUGGGAGAAGAGACAAGGACGGUAUCCCAGGAAUAAGUCUCGGCUAACUACGUGCCAGCAGCCGCCGUAACAC